CUAGAGAUAUGCUCAGCGGUUAAGAGCACUGUCUAUUCUUCCAGAGGAUCUGGGUUCAAUUCCCAGUCCCCACA
rnacentral:tRNA from 1 species